CGCCCGCCCCUUUCUAAUUAUUUGUAGCCCCGUUAGCGUCGUACAGACAAGAGCAACCGGUUUUUCUGUCAGUCAUUUGCCACUUUUUAGCCUAUAACUCAUCGGAAGAAACUGAAAGUAGAUACCAGUGAAAGUUGGAUGUAGGCUAUAAUCUAAGGAGGUGUCUUUUGUUUUUUCUCCCAGUUUUUUUGUCGACGUGAUUCGUUUGAGCCAAAAAAAACAAAAAAAAACAUUUCGACUCCCGACUGUAUGGAGUGUGAAUGUUAACGGUGUCUGGAAUUUUUUAAAAAUAAAUUUCAAUGCUAUAGUGAAAGUGGGGUAGGCUUUAAUAUCAUUCUUGAACUUGGGAAAGAUAUUUCGUGAACUUGGGAAAAUGAUUACGAGGCUCUGAUAAUGACUAAGCUCAAUCUUUUGUUUCGGUUUUCCAUGCCGAUUGAUUUAAUUAAUCGACAGUUUUAUCCGUGAGUGGGUUGGGCAAUGAAGAGGCGAAAAAUUGAAUUUUUAUUUUUAAAAAAUAUUUUAAAACUAGAUAUUUCUUUUCUCCGUAAUUAAAGAGAUGCUAGUUCGUGACUCCGUUUAAUUAGCAAUGUUUGAUUUCGCUUUUAAUUGUCGCAGCAAAAAGUUGUUGGUGCACUUGACAAUUAUUGGCGUUGCGCGCUAAACCCGGAAUUAAUUUGUACCUGUUUGGUUUCAUCUGCGUGUAACAAUUAAACGCAUUUGGGCGACCGAGAAAAGAGUUUCCUGAUUGCACUACACGCCGUGUCCACCGGAUCAUUGCAAGUUUGUGUCGUUUUUGGGAAAGUUUGUCCAAAACCAGUCGAGUGUGUCAUUUUUUAUCCCCUACUUCUUCCUCGUUCAACGCUUUUUGGUCAUGUGUACUCUAUACACACACAUACACAUGCAGGUAUUUUACAUAAAUCGUUGACAUACCGUCAAAUUUUCUCCGAUUGAAUUCGACAUUUUUCAUCCGAUUUAGACAAUUCUUGGUAGAUGGUCGCCAUUAUUUCUUGGUUUCUAUGUCCCAUCAUCAUUAGAUUCGCAGUUUAGAAAACUGGAAUCUACAUUACUGGCUUUUUAUUUAGUCCAGUUUUCGUCUCAGGCUUAAUUUGCAUGAGGUGGCAAUUGAAAUUCGAGAAGGGCGGGGAUUUGGGAAAGUUUUCAAUCCUUGACGUCAGGUUUUUUGUUUGUUGUUUCUUUCCAAGUUGAUCUCCGUCCAAAGAUUGGGGCAUAACACAAACGCAAGUGAUCGUUUUACACAAUCAGGUGCGAAUCCCAAAAAAGGCGUAACUGUCCUAAUAAUACUGAUUCGGUAGGUUGUGUAAGCGCGUGGGCCUCGAGGCUGGGCGGGCAUCGCCAGUAGCGUGAAUGCACUUUGAUAUGCGCCUGCUGGCUCACGUAUACGAAUUGCACCGCCAGUUGGCCACGACAUUAUGAAUUGGGCUCCCCUUUUUUGGUAGGUGUUAAUUAAUUACCUUUGCAUAGUUUCGGGUCGAGAAAUUUAAUCUUUGCCAUCGAAUUUAGCGAUUGUGAAGCGGACACGUAUUUCUUUAGAAAAAAAUUCAAACGGGUUUGCUAUUUUAUUUCUUGGAAAUUAUUUGUAUCGACUCCGGAUAUCCGAGUCAUAACAAGAAUUUCGAAAAUUUUGAUCGAUUGAUUUGAGAAAUUUGGUUAUCGCCGAAUUAGAAAUGUCAAGUGAAAAUAGAUUUGAUUAAUUCAGAAAAUUAUUGACGCUAAUGUUGCGUGCGUAUGCGUACCCUGUAACCGUACGAUAAAAAUUUAUUUUGGCAGCCAGCGAACUGAAAUUGGAAAUCUGUGCCCAAACAAAGUUUUGGAGGUGUUUCUUUUACUUUUUAUUUUCUUUGAAAUCAAGCACUAGUAGGAGAACUACUUUUACCUUUUUCCACCUAAUCGAGAGCUAAGUUAAUCGUAUCGUAAUCUCUGGAGCGACUCAUUGCGUAAAUAUAUCGUCGUCGUCUGUUGGGAGAGGUUUCCUGCUGAGCAUUGCGUACUGCGUUCUCGAUUGGAUAUAUAUGCAAAUGAUGUUGAGAGUCGAUUCGAAAAAAAAAAGUCUUGACCGGAGAUCGCUUUCUUUUUCGUGAUUGACUUGACGAAAAUAAAAGGUGCUUUGUUGUUUUGUUUUUGCUACUGUUCUCAUUUCCAAGAUUACUCUGUUUUUUUGUUGUUUCUAUUCUUUCUUCUUAAUUUAUGCCCUCUCUCCUCUGUUUAAUAAUGGAUGUCAAUUCAUUUAAUUUAUCGUUUACGACGAACUAGCCACAAAUGAAUAUGGAGUGGUUUUUUUUUUUUUUUUUUUUUUUUGUGGGGGGGGGGGGGGGAUAUGAUGGAACUCUAUUUCCCCUUCGGAACUUGUGAACGGUGUAUUUUAUAGAUGGCUAAAAACAAUGCCACUCAAUCGAUUUUUUUAGUUUUCUUCUCUUUAUUACCUUCUUUUCAUUUGCAUUGAUCAUUUGGCGAAAUUUAGUUGUGUAUUCAUCGUUUCAAAUCACAGGAAUUUACAUUCCCUCCUUCCUUCUUAGUCGUCUGUUGGGAAAAGAGACCAGAAAGAAAAUUUCAAGUCCAGUACGCAGUUAUUGUGAGCUGCAGCUCAACUACGCCAACACGAGGAACUACGCAAGCUUGCGCGACGAUUGCGCGACGAUUGCUGACCCACAAGAGCUCCUGCCCGUUCCUU
rnacentral:lncRNA from 1 species